rnacentral:rRNA from 1 species
CUUGUACACACCGCCCGUCACACCAUGAGAGUUUGUAACACCCAAAGCCGGCCGGAUAACCUAGUUUACUAGGAGUCAGCCGUCUAAGGUGGGACAAAUGAUUAGGGUGAAGUCGUAACAAGGUAGCCGUAGGAGAACCUGCGGCUGGAUCACCUCCUUU